rnacentral:rRNA from 1 species
UACAGAGGUCUCAAGCGUUGUUCGGAUUCAUUGGGCGUAAAGAGCUCGUAGGCGGCUGUUCAAGUCGAACGUGAAAACUCGGAGCUCAACUCCGAGCCUGCGUUCGAGACUGGAUGGCUAGAGUCUGGUAGGGGGAUCUGGAAUUCCUGGUGUAGCGGUGGAAUGCGCAGAUAUCAGGAGGAACACCGGUGGCGAAGGCGGGAUCCUGGGCCAGUACUGACGCUGAGGAGCGAAAGCGUGGGGAGCAAACAGG